rnacentral:rRNA from 1 species
GUACGCUAUUCAGAGUUUGAUCCUGGCUCAGGAUGAACGCUGGCGGCAUGCCUAAUACAUGCAAGUCGAACGAAUCACUUCGGUGGUUAGUGGCGAACGGGUGAGUAACACGUAGGUAAUCUACCCUUUAGACGAGGAUAACGGUUGGAAACGACCGCUAAUACUGGAUAGUAUGCAGAAUCGCAUGAAUCUGCAUUUAAAGUUCCGUGUGGAACACUAAAGGAGGAGCCUGCGGCGCAUUAGUUAGUUGGCGGGGUAAUGGCCCACCAAGACGAUGAUGCGUAGCCGGACUGAGAGGUUGAACGGCCACAUUGGGACUGAGACACGGCCCAG